GACGAACGCUGGCGGCGUGCUUAACACAUGCAAGUCGAGCGGUAAGGCCCUUCGGGGUACACGAGCGGCGAACGGGUGAGUAACACGUGGGUGACCUGCCCUCAGCUUCGGGAUAAGCCUGGGAAACCGGGUCUAAUACCGGAUAUGACUACGGGAUGCAUGUCCUGUGGUGGAAAGUUUUUUCGGCUGGGGAUGGGCCCGCGGCCUAUCAGCUUGUUGGUGGGGUGAUGGCCUACCAAGGCGGUGACGGGUAGCCGGCCUGAGAGGGCGACCGGCCACACUGGGACUGAGACACGGCCCAGACUCCUACGGGAGGCAGCAGUGGGGAAUAUUGCGCAAUGGGCGAAAGCCUGACGCAGCGACGCCGCGUGGGGGAUGACGGCCUUCGGGUUGUAAACCUCUUUCGCCAGGGACGAAGCUUUUGUGACGGUACCUGGAGAAGAAGCACCGGCCAACUACGUGCCAGCCGCCGCCGUAAUAC
rnacentral:rRNA from 1 species